rnacentral:rRNA from 1 species
UACGAAGGGGGCUAGCGUUGCUCGGAAUACUGGGCGUAAAGCGUGCGCAGGCGGUUUUGUAAGUCUGUCGUGAAAUCCCCGGGCUCAACCUGGGAAUUGCGAUGGAGACUGCAAGGCUAGAAUCUGGCAGAGGGGGGUAGAAUUCCACGUGUGAGCAGUGAAAUGCGUAGAGAUGUGGAGGAACACCGAUGGCGAAGGCAGCCCCCUGGGUCAAGAUUGAC